AUGGACUGCAAUAACGAGAUUGGUCGUGAGCGCAAAAAGUACUUAGAAUCAAAUGAUUCACAAACACUUCUAGAAUACUUGAAAAAUAAGCAGAGAGAGGAUCCAACAUUUUUUUAUGCCAUUCAAGUAGAUGAGAAAGAUGGUCGGAUUGCUAAUUUCUUUUGGGCAGACGGACAGUCUAUCAUGGAUUACGCAUGUUUCGGAGAUGCUAUAUCAUUUGACACUACAUUUCAAACUAAUAAGUUUGAAAUGCCUUUUGCUCCAAUCCUGGGAACCAACCAUCACAAGCAGACUAUAAUUUUUGGGGCAGCGUUGUUAUAUAAUGAGACCAUUGAGUCAUUUGUUUGGUUGUUUGAAACCUUUCUAACAACAAUGUCAGGUAAGCAUCCAAGCACAAUUUUCACUGAUCAGGAUGCAGCCAUGGCAGGAGCAGUUGCAUAUGUGUUUCGAAAUACAAGUCAUCGACUUUGUCUAUGGCACAUUUAUCUUAAUGCUGCUAAA
rnacentral:rRNA from 1 species